CAAUAAAGACCUUUCUGAUUCUGAUUCUCAUUCUGUAUAUAUACAUAUACUGUAUAUAAGGCCAUUAAACACAUGACAUUUAAGGGUUUGGUUUAGAUCAAGCCAAGUGGACGUCUCCUUUAAGCUGUUGCUGAUAUGAUGGGGCUUCUGAUGUUCUGCAGAUGAUAUUCUGGCACUAAACGGAUUGCAACAAACUAGAACUUUCAUGACUUUUGAAAGUUCAAAGUCACAUUUGAUUAAGUUGCUUCCCGGUUCUCUGUGUACUUUUUCUCACAUUGCCUGCUAGACCCCUCUGAAUCACAGCGUCUUUCAAAUGACUGGAUAUAAUAUAAAUGUCUUCCUUUCCUUCUUUACCGGACUGCUCUAUGUACAGAGAGCUUUUCUUCAAGUUCAAACAAUGGAUGAUUACUUGCAAGGUCUUGGCUCUGCUCCUUUGUAUUGUGUUUUUCAACAUUUAACUGAAGCAGCAAAUGAGGUUAACAAGAGAUUCAGAGAGACACUGGCUCAAACAAUGAGAAGCUGCGGAUGGCACAAUGAUGGAUCUGUGUUUAAAUUAAAACCAGCUUUAUCACUUCUCACAAGUUUGCUCAGAGCUUCUGGGUUUCUGUAUCUGAUCCUGUAAAAUCAUAGAGAAAAGAGAAAGAUUGAUGAAAGAAAAAAAAACAUUCUUCUUGCCCAUUAGGAUAGAAUUUAUAGACAAUUAUGGAUAUCAUGAAUGUUAAAAGUAAUUGAUUUCUGGAGCUUCUACAAUUUCCUUUGUACUUUUGCAAAUGGAAAAUUGGACAUGACCGUGAUGAGUUUUCUGAUUUGACAUGUAAAUCUGGAAAACUGGAAAUAAUCUGUUACUCUGUUUCCACUUAAUAUUUCCAAGACAAAAGCGAAAAUGAAAACGGUUUGGCGUUCUGUGAAACCUGGAGGAUAAACAAUGCCAUUUUGCAAGUCAUUCCUCUGAGCAGCAGGCAGAUCACCGCUUUAACCCGUAAGAUGCUUUAAAGCGUAUUAUUCAGGAGUAGUAGAAAUGUAUUUAGCCAUUCAGAAAUGUGUGCAGUCAUUCUUUUUAUGUCUAGAUCUACAGGGGGAUUUCAGGAGUAGAAGUUAAAUAAAGUGACGUGAGCUGUAACUUUACUAUUUUCUAUUUUGAAGCAGGAAUACACCUGACUGUCUAAUGCAAGAAAACACAUAAUCAUUUACAAUUCAGUGUAGAGUAGAAAUUAACACACUGGAGUGUUUUGGGAGGUGGAAGUAAACAGCAGAACCUGGAGGAAACCCCUGAGAACACUAGGAGAAGAUGUGGAACUCCUCUCAGACAUUAACCAAAGCUCAGGAUCGAAUUAGAGACGCUGGAGCAUUUUUAUUUAAUAUAAAAUUUAAUGAUAUUGAAAAUGCGCACAAUUCUGAAUGUAAGCACUGCAGGUCUGGACCUACUGACAUUUUCAAUGCAGAUCUGGACCUACUGACAGAGUUUUAUACGUUAGUGAAUGUAAUCUUAGGAAAGUUUGCUAAUUUUUCCCAGCAAACAUAGUUGGUGCACUAAACUUUUCAUUUAUUUGCGGCUUAAGUAGAACACAAGCGGAGAGAGGAGAUAAAACUGCAGUUUGUGUUUUCCACAUUAAACUGAAAUUAGCUAGCAGUUUCCACUUGUACAUGAUUUUUAGUUUUAUGGUUUAUAUUUACCAUUCUUGGAAUGUCUGUGAAACAAGUUCUUAGUUCUUGUCCUUAUUUAUGUUAUAGCAGCUAUAAACUAUAGUUCCUUCCUCAGCCCCUCUUUUCUCCCUCCUCAAAUCAUAUGAUUGAGAAACCACAGUGUUGUGGAAACACUGGAGACCCCUAUAAAAUUAUUUUAUUUCAAUGAGUUAUUAUUAUUAUUAUUAUUAUUAUUAUUAUUAUUAUUAUUAUUAUUAUUAUUAAUUUACAUAAGCGAAGGAAAGUUCUAAGGCCAUCCUUCACUGUUGGAUUACAUCCACACACACACACACACACACACACACACACACACACACACACACACACACACACACACACACACACACACACACACACACACACACACA